rnacentral:rRNA from 1 species
UGGGGAAUAUUGCACAAUGGGGGAAACCCUGAUGCAGCGACGCCGCGUGAGUGAAGAAGUGUUUCGGCACGUAAAGCUCUGUCAGCAGGGAAGAAGAUGACGGUACCUGACCAAGAAGCCCCGGCUAACUACGUGCCAGCAGCCGCGGUAAUACGUAGGGGGCAAGCGUUAUCCGGAUUUACUGGGUGUAAAGGGAGCGCAGACGGCAGCGCAAGUCCGGGGUGAAAGCCCGCGGCCCAACCGCGGGACUGCCCUGGAAACUGUGCGGCUGGAGUGCCGGAGAGGUAAGCGGAAUUCCUAGUGUAGCGGUGAAAUGCGUAGAUAUUAGGAGGAACACCAGUGGCGAAGGCGGCUUACUGGACGGUAACUGACGUUGAGGCUCGAAAGCGUGGGGAGCAAACAGG